AAUAUCUUAAACUUCCACUCAGAAACCAAGAGACAGCUACUGCAGAUCCCAGAGCCCUGCUGCUAUGUGCUCACAGCAGGUUGCACCGUUUAACAAGCAGGCUUCUGCAUUCUGCACUACCAUCCCUUUCUGAAUAAAUGUAAGCUGCGGCCCCAUGUAGAGCGCCUUUUUAAUUUAUUGAGCUUUACGGCCUUGCAGAGUCUUUUUGGACCAUGGUGCUUAGAGCAGCGAGAUGGACUAGAUGACCUCUCAAAGUCGCUUCCACUCCAACAUUUCUAUGAUGGCCAAAGUCCUCUUGCUUCUCAGAGGUUCCCUCUGACACGGCCCCUUGCUGCUGAGAGACUCCACACUGCUCCAUGCAUCCCGCCCUCAUUCUGGAAAGACCAGAACAAAGAGAUU
rnacentral:lncRNA from 1 species